rnacentral:rRNA from 1 species
CCUACGGGUGGCUGCAGUGGGGAAUAUUGGACAAUGGGCGAAAGCCUGAUCCAGCCAUGCCGCGUGUGUGAAGAAGGCCUUCGGGUUGUAAAGCACUUUCAGUGGGGAAGAAAGCCUUGGGGCUAAUACCCUCGAGGAAGGACAUCACCCACAGAAGAAGCACCGGCUAACUCCGUGCCAGCAGCCGCGGUAAUACGGAGGGUGCGAGCGUUAAUCGGAAUUACUGGGCGUAAAGCGCGCGUAGGCGGUCUGAUAAGCCGGUUGUGAAAGCCCCGGGCUCAACCUGGGAACGGCAUCCGGAACUGUCAGGCUAGAGUGAAGGAGAGGAAGGUAGAAUUCCCGGUGUAGCGGUGAAAUGCGUAGAGAUCGGGAGGAAUACCAGUGGCGAAGGCGGCCUUCUGGACUGACACUGACGCUGAGGUGCGAAAGCGUGGGUAGCAAACAGGAUUAGAUACCCGUGUAGUC